GACGAACGCUGGCGGCGUGCUUAACACAUGCAAGUCGAACGGAAAGGCCUGCUUUCCCUUGUGGAUUGCGGGUACUCGAGUGGCGAACGGGUGAGUGACACGUGAGUGAUCUGCCCCCAACUUGGGUAUAAGCCUGGGAAACUGGGUCUAAUUCCCGAUAGGACUGCAGGGUGGUGCCUGUGGUGGAAAACGAUUUUCUAGUGGUUGGGGAUGAGCUCGCGGCCUAUCAGCUUGUUGGUGGGGUAAUGGCCUACCAAGGCGGCGACGGGUAGCCGGCCUGAGAGGGUGGACGGCCACAUUGGGACUGAGAUACGGCCCAGACUCCUACGGGAGGCAGCAGUGGGGAAUAUUGCACAAUGGGCGGAAGCCUGAUGCAGCGACGCCGCGUGGGGGAUGACGGCCUUCGGGUUGUAAACUCCUUUCGACCGCGAGGAAGCCACCUGGUUGGAAGGGUGGUGACGGUAGUGGUAGAAGAAGCACCGGCUAACUACGU
rnacentral:rRNA from 1 species